rnacentral:rRNA from 1 species
UACUUAGUGGCAGACGGGUGAGUAACAUGUAGGUAUCUGCCCUUUGGCCUGGAAUAACACGAGGAAACUUGUGCUAAUACCGGAUAAGUCUUUACGGAGAAAGCUUUACGCACCAUUGGAUGAGCCUGCACUUGAUUAGUUUGUUGGAAGGGUAAUGGCCUACCAAGACUAUGAUCAAUAGCUGAUUUGAGAGGAUGAUCAGCCACAUUGGGACUGAGACACGGCCCAAACUCCUACGGGAGGCAGCAGUGGGGAAUCUUGCACAAUGGAGGAAACUCUGAUGCAGCGAUGCCGCGUGAGUGAAGAAGGCCCUUGGGUUGUAAAGCUCUUUCGUCGGGGAAGAAAAUGACUGUACCCGAAUAAGAAGGUCCGGCUAACUUCGUGCCAGCAGCCGCGGUAAUACGAAGGGACCUAGCGUAGUUCGGAAUUACUGGGCUUAAAGAGUUCGUAGGUGGUUGAAAAAGUUGGUGGUGAAAUCCCAGAGCUUAACUCUGGAACUGCCAUCAAAACUUUUCAGCUAGAGUAUGAU